GGUUUAAUUCGAAGCAACGCGAAGAACCUUACCAAAUCUUGACAUCCCUCUGACCGGCGAGUAAUGUCGCCUUUCCUUCGGGACAGAGGAGACAGGUGGUGCAUGGUUGUCGUCAGCUCGUGUCGUGAGAUGUUGGGUUAAGUCCCGCAACGAGCGCAACCCUUAUCCUAAGUAGCCAGCAGUUUCGGCUGGGCACUCUUGGGAGACUGCCAGGGAUAACCUGGA
rnacentral:rRNA from 1 species